GAGGGUAUAGCUCAAGCAGUAGAGUGCAUGCUUAGCAUGGACAAGGUCCUGGGUUCAAUUCCCAGUACCUCCA
rnacentral:tRNA from 1 species